CGUAUACAAUCUACCUUAUAGAGGGGGAUAGCCCAGAGAAAUUUGGAUUAAUACCCCAUAGUAUUAGAAGAUAGCAUUAUCNGAUUAAACAUUUAUGGCUAUAAGAUGAGUAUGCGUUCUAUUAGCUAGAUGGUAAGGUAACGGCUUACCAUGGCAACGAUAGAUAGGGGUCCUGAGAGNAGAUCCCCCACACUGGUACUGAGACACGGACCAGACUCCUACGGGAGGCAGCAGUGAGGAAUAUUGGACAAUGGGCGAGAGCCUGAUCCAGCCAUGCCGCGUGCAGGAAGACGGCCCUAUGGGUUGUAAACUGCUUUUAUACGGGAAGAAACACUCUGACGUGUCAGAGCUUGACGGUACCGUAAGAAUAAGGAUCGGCUAACUCCGUGCCAGCAGCCGCGGUAAUAC
rnacentral:rRNA from 1 species